CUAUCUUUGGCUUUUUCAUACUCAAUAUAACAUCAAAGUAGGUUUCUACUUUUAAAAAUCCCAAGGAAAGUUAAUGCUGUGUUGAACAAGACUAUUUAUUUAUUUGAUAUCCUUAACCCUGACAGCAACGAGGAAGGAGGUAUUAGCAUCCCCAUUUUAUAUAUGAGGAACCCGAGGCUCUGAAAUGCUGGUUUGCCCAAGGCCACACUGGAAAUGCAGCAUGAAGCUGGGCUACAAACCCAGAUCUGGCUGCAGGGAGCCAGCUUCUGCUUCCAGUAACUGAAUAAUGACCCUGUGUACUGGAUUUGCAAAGCAGAAAUGACCUUCAGCAAUGUUAGCACUGCAGCCAGAGUGAUUUUUCAAAAUCAGGCAUCCCCAGUCUCCUCCCCCCUCCUAAAGCCUAUCAGUGACUUCCCAUUGCUCUUAGGAGGGAAGAAAACCAAGAAGGCCCAGAAGCUCUGAACAAGUGGACUCCCUCCUGCUACCCAUUCAAGGUCUCCCCAGCCAGCCCCAGCUCCACUGUGCCCCCCAUACCCACACACCACCCUAAAUCUCCAUCACUCUGCUGCAGCCCCACUUCCUUUCAGUGUUUAUAUUCUUUUCUCUCCCACCUCAGGGCCUUUGCAUGGGCUAUUGUUGCUUCCAAAAUCAGUCUUCCUUCUUCUCUUUCCUUUCUCAUUCCUCAGAUACAGCUGAAUAUCUGUUUUUCAGGUCCUUCGUUGUCUGUCCUGAAUAGCCAAGCCAGAACCCAUAAUAUGUGCUUAUAGUCCCAUGUGCCUCUCUUUUAGAGUGCUUGCUGCUGUGGGUAUUUACACCGCUUCAUAAUUUUCAGUUAGCCCCCGCCAGCCUCCCACUUCACUGUGGCCUUCCUCAGGAGGGGGCCAGGUGUGUAUUCACUCACUAUUAUUUCCCCAGCACUUAGCAUGGGGCCUGGCACUAGGAAGGGGCUCAAUAAAUAUUGGUUGAAUAAAUAAAUCAGCAAUGGGGAGUCAGAGAAUAAAGCUUCCCUUAAGUCUUAUGCAGUAGGUUCAGCAUUCUGUUCAUUGUUGUCUCUGCUGUUUUGGCUUCCAGGAUGACUAUAGCCCUGUCAAAGCUACAAGCAUUUUGUUAAGGGACUUGCAUAUUCUGAAAUCAAACUUCCAAUGGUGCCAGGAGAAACAGAGAGGCUGCCGACCUGCUGCCCAGCUGUCCGAGCUGUCUAAGACCUGCUCUUCUGCCUCCGUUCACAUUACUCUGCGCUUUGUGAGGUUUGUCUCACCAGCUGAAUUCUGUCUGCUCAGAGAACAGGGACGAGGUCAUAACCUUCUGUGUCUCUAGUCUGCCAGGCCCUAGAAGGAUCAUGCCAGUGGGUUGAAUGAUUCAAUCUCAGGCCAUUCUGAAAGGCCAGAACAAUUGUAACUGGACUUGAGUUACCCAUUUAUCAGAAAGAUAUUUUCUGCACUUUAGAAGGAAACCGGAAGUGGCUUUCAGCCUUCAUUCAUUCAUUCAACAAGUAUUUAUCCUGCACCUACUCCCUGCCGGGCGUGCUGCCAAACCCUGCAGAUUCAGUGGUAAAGAAGACAGAAUCCCUGCUCUCCUGGAGCUUGUGUUCCCACGAGAGGGAGAAUGGACAGUGCUCACAUAAAUAGAAAUGGCCUGGGAAUGCAAAGCCCUCUAAUGGAAAAUGAAGCACAAAAAUGGGCACAGGAAGGAGGUGUGGCAGAGAGGCAGGCCCUUGGGUAGGGGAAGCAGGGAAAAUUCUAGGACUUAAAUGUAUCAGAAAUCACAGGUAAAAUGGCCUGGUAUGAAGAGCCUGAAACCAGAAAGCCUCCCUUCCUUCCUCAGAUCGUGCCAGAGUUGGGAACCGUGGGCAGCCCUCCCCGGGUCGCCUGUACAGAAGUGGAGUCAUCCUCCCUGGAAGCCAAGGGAGAGAGAAGAGAUCGCUGCCUGUACAGCAGGAAGAGAAUCUCGGGUGUCUGAACACCCCAGGAUGUGACUGGUUUGGCUAAGCCUGAGGUUUCUGCCUUAUGCGGAUGCCACCCCACCCCCAGAGCUUCUGUCUGUGCCUUUGAAGGACAUUUUGUCACUCAAGAAGUUAUUCAGUUGGGGGAAAUUACCUGAAAAGUUGCAUACACCAAGCUCCCACAGUGAAACGUCCUGAAUAUUCAUUUAGAUCAUUGUUGCCUUUCAUAUUUGUCUUCUGUGAAUGUACAUACAGCCCCAUAUAGCAAAGUCCACUUCCCAGGUUGGGGAGCCCCUCGAGCAAGUUUAUAGGAGUAAGGCCAUAACCAUCUUUACCAUGAGGAUAACCUACUGCCUUAUUAUUAAUCACCAUCCCUACCCUGGAGGCAUUAGUGAUUCAGAAGUUUCUGCUGAGGACUGAAUGAGGAAAUAUGCUCAGCACAGCACCUGACAUGUAUGUAAGCAGUACGAAUAUUAUUAUUUUAAGUGUGCCUACUAAGUCCCUUUUCUUCACAAAGUGUGUGUUUCUUGUCAGGUACUAAGUCAACCACAACUGCAGUUCAGAUGCAGUUUGCUAGAAGCUGCUGUAAGUGGAUCCCCAGGUAUGUGGCUACUCUGACCAGAGCGAUGGUGUGCUUUGGCUGACGUCACUCACGGUCUGAGUGGUCUGCAGUCAGUGAUAUGCAGGAACAACUAUAUUGUACUCAGCCCAUCCCAGUUUUACUUGUUCGAAGGAACUGACAAUGUCCAGUUCAGUAGAUUCUACAGGUAAAAUGCUCCAAACACAUCUAACCAUAGAAGCUACAUGUUCGUUUAUUAUUGCUUUCUUU